UACGUAGGGGGCAAGCGUUGUCCGGAAUUAUUGGGCGUAAAGCGCGCGCAGGCGGUUCUUUAAGUCUGGUGUUUAAACCCGAGGCUCAACUUCGGGUCGCACUGGAAACUGGGGGACUUGAGUGCAGAAGAGGAGAGUGGAAUUCCACGUGUAGCGGUGAAAUGCGUAGAUAUGUGGAGGAACACCAGUGGCGAAGGCGACUCUCUGGGCUGUAACUGACGCUGAGGAGCGAAAGCGUGGGGAGCGAACAGG
rnacentral:rRNA from 1 species